CGGGACGUGGCGCAGUCUGGUAGCGCACUUGACUGGGGGUCAAGUGGUCGGAGGUUCAAAUCCUCUCGUCCCGACCA
rnacentral:tRNA from 2 species